rnacentral:tRNA from 1 species
GCCCCGGUAGCUCAGUGGUAGAGCACUUCCUUGGUAAGGAAGAGGUCGCGGGUCCAAUUCCCGCCCGGGGCUCCA